rnacentral:rRNA from 1 species
AACGAACGCUGGCGGCAGGCUUAACACAUGCAAGUCGAGCGCAUCCUUCGGGGUGAGCGGCGGUCGGGUGGGUAACGCGUGGGAACGUGCCCUCUUCUACGGAAUAGCCGCGGGAAACUGAGAGUAAUGCCGUAUACGCCCGCAAGGGGUAAGAUUUAUCGGAGGAGGGUCGGCCCGGGUUGGAUUAGGUAGUUGGGGGGGUAACGGCCUACCAAGCCGACGAUCCAUAGCUGGUUUGAGAGGAUGAUCAGCCACACUGGGACUGCGACACGGCCCAGACUCCUACGGGAGGGAGCAGUGGGGAAUCUUGGACAAUGGAGGCAACCCUGGUCCCGCCAUGCCGCGUGAUAGAUGAAGGGCUUAGGGUUGUAAAGAUCUUUCAGCUGGGAAGAUAAUGACGGUACCAGCAGAAGAAGCCCCGGCUAACUACGUG